rnacentral:tRNA from 1 species
CCGUCGUUAGCUGAGUUGGUAGAGCGCUCCACUGGAAAUGGAGAGGUCCCGGGUUCGAUACCCAGACCAGGCGGA